AGAGUUUGAUCCUGGCUCAGAUUGAACGCUGGCGGCAUGCCUAACACAUGCAAGUCGAACGGAAACGAAUAAGAGCUUGCUCUUAAGGCGUCGAGUGGCGGACGGGUGAGGAAUGCAUAGGAAUCUGCCCAGUAGCGGGGGACAACCUGGGGAAACUCAGGCUAAUACCGCAUACGCCCUACGGGGGAAAGCGGGGGACCUUCGGGCCUCGCACUAUUGGAUGAGCCUAUGUCAGAUUAGCUUGUUGGUGAGGUAAAAGCUCACCAAGGCGACGAUCCAUAGCUGGUCUGAGAGGAUGAUCAGCCACACUGGGACUUAGACACGGCCCAGACUCCUACGGGAGGCAGCAGUGGGGAAUAUUGCACAAUGGGCGCAAGCCUGAUGCAGCCAUGCCGCGUGAAUGAAGAAGGCCCUAGGGUUGUAAAGUUCUUUCGUCGGGGACGAUAAUGACGGUACCCGAAGAAGAAGCCCCGGCUAACUCCGUGCCAGCAGCCGCGGUAAUACGGAGGGGGCUAGCGUUGUUCGGAAUUACUGGGCGUAAAGCGCGCGUAGGCGGUUUGCUAAGUCAGAUGUGAAAGCCCCGGGCUCAACCUGGGAAUUGCAUUUGAUACUGGUAGGCUAGAGUAUGGUAGAGGAAAGCGGAAUUCCAGGUGUAGCGGUGAAAUGCGUAGAUAUCUGGAGGAACAUCAGUGGCGAAGGCGGCUUUCUGGACCAAUACUGACGCUGAGGUGCGAAAGCGUGGGUAGCAAACAGGAUUAGAUACCCUGGUAGUCCACGCUGUAAACGAUGUCAACUAGCCGUUGGGGAGUUUAACUUCUUAGUGGCGCAGCUAACGCGAUAAGUUGACCGCCUGGGGAGUACGGCCGCAAGGUUAAAACUCAAAGGAAUUGACG
rnacentral:rRNA from 1 species